rnacentral:rRNA from 1 species
GACGUAGGAGGCGAGCGUUGUCCGGAUUCAUUGGGCGUAAAGAGCACGCAGGCGGUUUGGCAAGUCGGAUGUGAAAGCCCGGAGCUCAACUUGGGAAUGGCAUUGGAAACUGGCGGGCUGGAGUGUGGCAGAGGGGGGUGGAAUUCCACGUGUAGCAGUGAAAUGCGUAGAGAUGUGGAGGAACACCGAUGGCGAAGGCAGCCCCCUGGGCCAACACUGACGCUCAGGCACGAAAGCGUGGGGAGCAAACAGG